rfam:Gossypium arboreum cultivar AKA8401 contig_46368_1, whole genome shotgun sequence.
AACCCAUGGUGAGGGCACCUUCUCAAUAAACCCUUAUACCUCUCCUAUGCAUCAUAUAGAGUCUUUAGAUCCAUUUGUACGAAGGAAGAGAUAUCAUUCCUCAGCUU